rnacentral:rRNA from 1 species
UACGUAGGUGGCAAGCGUUGUCCGGAUUUACUGGGCGUAAAGCGUGCGCAGGCGGUGAUGUAAGACCGAUGUGAAAUCCCCGGGCUUAACCUGGGAACUGCAUUGGUGACUGCAUAGCUAGGGUGCGGAAGAGGGAAGCGGAAUUUCCGGUGUAGCGGUGAAAUGCGUAGAUAUCGGAAGGAACACCAGUGGCGAAAGCGGCUUCCUGGUCCAGCACCGACGUUCAGGCACGAAAGCGUGGGGAGCAAAAGGG